UUAAAUGGCCGCAGUAUUUUGACUGUGCUAAGGUAGCAUAAUCAUUAGUUUUUUAAUUGAAAGCUGGAAUGAAGGGUUUAAUGAAAAAAUAACUGUCUUUAUUUAAUUAUAUUAUAAAUUUAUUUUUAAGUUAAAAAGCUUAAAUUAUUUUAAAAGACGAGAAGACCCUAUAGAGUUUUAUUUUUAUAAUUUAUAUAAAUUUUUGGGAUUAAUAUUUAUUUAAUUUUUAAAAAUUUAAUUGGGGUGAUUAAAAAAUUUAAUUAACUUUUUUUAUAUUUAAAUAUUAUUAAAUAAUUAUAUGAUCCAAAAUUUUUUGAUUAAAAGAAAAAAUUACCUUAGGGAUAACAGCGUAAUUUUAUUUUAAAGUU
rnacentral:rRNA from 1 species